rnacentral:tRNA from 1 species
GCCCACCUAGCUCAAUUUGAUAGAGCAGCAGACUACGAAUCUGCAGGUUGGCGGUUCGAGUCCGUCGGUGGGCGCCA